rnacentral:misc_RNA from 1 species
GGCUAUUCCACUUAUCACCAUUUUCUUCAUUUCUCAAUAAUCCCACUUUUAAGUUCUUUCCCAGUUACUAUUAACACAAAUAUUUAAGAAAAAUCUCAACUUUUUUGUUGAAUACUUGUAAUAAGCAGAAAUGGAUUUUGUGUACAAGAACCCAUCAGCUCUUAUUGAGGAAAGAGUAAAAGAUUUGUUGUCUCGGAUGACACUUGAAGAAAAAAUAGGCCAAAUGACUCAGAUCGAACGCAGUGUUGCUACCCCCUCUGUCAUUACUGACCUUUCUAUAGGGAGUAUACUCAGUGUUGGAGGCAGUGCGCCAUUUGAGGAUGCUCCAUCGGAAGCUUGGGCAGAUAUGGUUGACGGAUUUCAAAAGGCUGCGCUGGAAUCACGGCUUGGGAUUCCGCUUCUUUAUGGAGUUGACGCUAUUCAUGGCAAUAACAAUGUU